rnacentral:rRNA from 1 species
GUCGAGAAUCUUCCGCAAUGCGCGAAAGCGUGACGGAGCGACACCGCGUGAUGGAUGAAGUCCUUCGGGGCGUAAACAUCUUUUAUAAAGGAGGAAAUUUUUGACGUUACUUUAUGAAUAAGGUGCUCCCAAUCUCGUGCCAGCAGGAGCGGUAAUACGAGAGCCUCAAGCGUUAUCCGGAAUCAUUGGGCGUAAAGGGUGCGUAGGUGGUUUGAUUAGUCUCCCGUUAAAACUUCGAGCUUAACUCGAAAAGAGCGGGGGAAACGGUCAAACUAGAGUAUGUGAGAGGUGUGUGGAACUCAUGGUGUAGGGGUGAAAUCCGUUGAUAUCAUGGGGAACACCAAAAGCGAAGGCAGCACACUGGCACAUCACUGACACUGAGGCACGAAACCUAAGGUAGCGAAUGGGAUUAGAAAACCGGGUAGUCC